rnacentral:tRNA from 1 species
CAAAUUAAAGCUUAAUAAAAGUAUUUUAUUUACAUUAAAAAGAUGAUUGUGAGAUUCAAUUUAAUUUGA